AUGCCAUGCCAUGUCUAAUUCAACAGUUAAGUAUGGAUGCAUCAACAAUAAUCAUAUCAGGUGCAAGAAAGUAAUCAACCGGAGGCCCUCUAAUAGCCAUGUACGGUUGAACCUAGAGCUCAAAAUCUAUCACUAUCACUCUACCGGAGUCACCUCUGUGACCCGUCCGGCCUUCUGCACACAAGUUACGCUCUAGUGCUUCUCAUAAAUCAUCUGUGCACAUAAUCUAAGGUCACCCACCAGUCGGAAUCUCACUAACACUCUCGCGACUGGCCUGUCGUACCCACUCCGCGUGGACUGUACGACUAGCAUCUACUUGGAUCCAAGGCGAGCGUGCGAUGCGGUGAAUACUAUAAGCACUAAACCAUGGUGCAGGAUUUGAGCUCAAUAUAUAUCAUCAUCAUCAUAACAGUAAUUAAAUACUCACCUGUGCGUCCACCGCACCAUUUCAUACAUAUGCAUCAUAAAUCAAUUCUUACCUGUGCGUCCACCGCACCAAUUCAUACAUAUGCAUCAUAAAUCAAUUCUUACCUGUGCGUCCACCGCACCAAUUCAUACAUAUGCAUCAUAUAUUAAUUCAUGCAUGGCAUUUCAACUCACAUUUCUAUAUACUUUUCAUAUAUACUUUUAUGCAUUUUCAUUUAAAGCAUAAUUUCAUGCAUUUUCAAUUUCUGGGAAACGUCAAGUAUAUAUAUAUAUAUAUAUACGGAAAACAAAACUGCCCACUCACCUGGAGUUCGCCCUACAACUCCCUAGCACAAUACGCCAAGGCGUCAUGACGAUCGGCGCCUAAAACAAUAAUCAAUUCCAACCUCAGAAUUCAUAUCGAUAGAAUAUAUAAACUUAUAUAAAAUACGUCACUACGUAGAUUGAUCCGGAAGAUCCACCACUCAGAUUUUAAUCCAUAACUUCCAGAGGUCCACAUUAUACCUCUAGGACAACAUCCUAAAAUUUCAUUACCAUCCAACGGUCGGAUCUCCGUCAAUUUCCAAAACUAAGUGAAGUGACGGUUAACAUUUUUAUAUUAUGGACUUACAAUUCCAAUUCCGGAAGAUCCGUAACUCGGAUUCCCAAUCCGUAAGUUCCAAUAAUCCUCAAAUAUUACGUAUUACAACGUAUCAAAGUUUGGUGACGAUCCAACGGUCGGAUCGUCAAUUCACAUUUUCACCUAAAUGUGAAAAUUAUAAAACGUUAUUUGAACACCUAACCAACAAUCCUCAAUAACUUUCUCAUACGGUGUUCAAUUUAGGUAUAUGAAUAUACCAUAGUGAUCUACUCGACGUCACGGACGUCGACAUAUUUUUAAAAUAAUUUUAUUUUUAUUUUUUAUUUUUACUGUAGCACCUUCUUCUUCCUUGGGUCGCCGGACUGGUUUUUUCCGGCGGCCGUUUUUCUGGGCAGUUUUUCAAAUUGCCAUAACUUUGUCAUUUCUCAACGAAAUCAAGUGAUUCAAAAACGAAAGUUGUAGCCCUUGAAGAGACAAAGAGAAUGGUACCUUGCACAACACCUAGUUAGCCGUGGUUUUGGCCGGAAACUGCCUCGAAAGCCUCGGAGGUCGCCGGAAACUGGGUAUUUUUCAAAUGAGUAUAACUUCUUCAAUACUCAACGAAAUUGAGUGAAACAAAAAUGAAAGUUGUAGUACUUGACGAGACGACGAAGAGAUUGAUACCUAUCUCGACUCCUAACUCGCCGGGGAUUCGCCGGAAAACGCCUCGAAAGCUCCGGCCAAACUUUGAACUUGUCGAUCUCCGUGUUCUUACGUCCAAAAACUUCCAACGAAGCACUCCGAGCUUCCUUGGGACAUCCUAAAGCUCACUAUGAGCUUGGUUUGGCCUAAAACACAACCAAUUCAAAGCUCAUGAACAGUACACAUUCACGGCAACUUUAGAAACUAGGGUUUUCGAAGUGAAACUUACUUGAAAUGGGUAUCAUCGUGAUCGUAUGGUCUUCAGGAGUACGAUGGCACUCUUAAAUCCGUCGUUGGUGGAAGUUUAGGGUGUUUUGUGGUGGUCUUGGUGGUUGCCGUGUGUUCGAGAGGGUGAGAGAGAGAGAAUCUGAAAUGGAAGAAGAAGAAGAGAAGGGAAAGGUUACGGAAAAUGGGGAGGAAAUUAGGGUAUAGGACCCUACCUAAAGUCCCAACACAACAAUAGCUUAGAAAUUUUAGGUAAAACAAACACCAAAAUUACGCACCUUAAUCCCGUUUAAGGGCGUUUUUGUAAUUUCACGUCCUCGGAAUUAAAAAUUCCGGGACGGGCUGUGACAAUCUCCCCUCCUUAUAUAGAAUUUCGUCCCCGAAAUUCCAGCCACCAACCAAACUCUCAAUACUAAAAAAAAUAGCCUCGGAUACAUAUCUCUCAUCCGUUCUUUUGUCUCCCAAGUAGCUUCUUCUGCUGAAUGGUUCAUCCACAAUACUUUUACCAAGCUCACGAUCUUAUUCCUCAUAGUCUUAUCUUUCCAAUCCAGUAUAGUCACUGGUUCCUCAUCAAGUCGAAUCCGGAUUAAUCUCCAAAGGUUGAACCAGAAUCUUAUGCGACAAAUCUGCCACCUAGUGACAACGCAUCGAACACAAAAUACAUUAUGUGCCUUAGCCAAUUCUGAAGGCAUCACAAACUUGUAUGCAACUUCAUCGAUUCCUUUAGUGAUCAAAACGAUCUGAUGUGUCUAAGACUUAUCUUGUCUUCCUUUCCAAAUCUUGCUAUUUCUUUUUCAUGGUGAAAUUUUCCAAAAAUAUCAAACCAUUUACCUUACACACUCGAUUAGUGGCAUAUCCAUCUGUUGAUCUCUUUUUGCCAUUCAUGGUUACUUCAGGUUAACUUAAUCACCUUAAUACUUUGAGGAGACUCAUCCAUAGUCUCAGGGUCUACUAAAACUCUUUCUUGAUCGAAUCUUUCUCUACCCAGAAACAUUCCAUUCACAAGUCAUCAAAAAACCGACUCACAUGACACAUUUCAUGGUCCUUUAUGGCGUUACUUCGGAAACUGCACAACCAACAUACUUAAGAAACUUAGCAGUUCCGUAAUCUAAUUCUCUUUUCCAUAAAACAAAUAAGUAGUGUUGCACUAUCUGGGAAAGGUUGUUACUCAACACUGGAGUAAAUGUACUAACUUGUUACUUAACAAGUAUAACUUCUUCUCGAUCUUCCAUUCUUAAUUUUUCUUCCGUUGGUUUUCAAUCCACAAGAUGAUACUCUUGGCAACGUGCCAGAUAUUAAUCUUACUGUAGUCUUCUCACCAAGUGCUUCAACUAGAACAAACUUUACGAUCACCCUGAUCGUACAAUCAUGUUCAUUAAGCAAUACAAUUCACUUUCGCUGCCUCAUAUCAAAAUCCUUCCAAGUAAUGGAUAUUGAAGACUUUUUGGAUUCGUAAAAAAAAUCUUGCAUUCCUACUAAAAUAUAAUGUCUCCAUAACUUCACAGCAAGAAUGGUAAUCGUGACUUCCAAAUCACCAGUAGGGUAAUUCAUCUUAUGAGAUUCCAUUCAUCGUGGAACGUAUGCAAUCACCCUAACAUUUGCAUCAACAUGCCUCCAAUACCAUUCAAGAAACAUCACUAAAAAUUUAUGAUUACCACUAUUCUCUGGGAAUACCAAAAUACGUGCAUGAGUGAGGAAAUACUUCAGUUGUUGAAUCCUUUGCUCACAAUUUCCUUCCCACUCAUACAUGACCUCUUUUCUCAACAGUCUCGUCAAUGACAAAGCAAUGACUGAAAAAUCUUUCACAACCAUCCAAGAUAGCCUGGUAAGCUAAGAAAUUCCAAAUCUCAAUUACGACUCGUGGUUGUUCCAAAUUCUCAAUUUCUGCUAUCUUUUAAGGAUUCACUUGAAUACCUUAAGAAUAUAUAACAAAUCUCAGAAUGCCACCUGAUUCAUCUAACUUUAGCAUUUGCUACUUAGCAUACAACCGACAUUCUUCCAAUCUUUGUUCCACCGACUUAAUACGUUUACAUGCUCUGCUCUGGCUCAGAAUAUGCCAGAAUAUCUUCAAUGAAAAUGAUAUCUAUUUAUCAAGGCAUUAUUGGAAUACUUCAUCCAAUAACUCAUAAAACAGCAUGAGUAUCCAUAUAGCAUCACCAAACUUCAUAAAGACUAUAACGAGUCCAGAAAACCAUCUUAUGAUCAACGUCACUUAUAAUAUUCAAUUGGUAGUAACCAGAUCUCAAUUCAAUCUUUGAAUCUUCGCAAUUACUUCUGAGCUGGUUAAAUAAACAUCAGUACAUUACCAUGGAUAACGGUUCUUAAUCGUUACCCGACUCCAUUGUCUAUAAUCAAUGAACAAUCUCUAAGUCCAUUUUCUUUCUCACCAACAAACUGGUGCUCCUCAAAAGUGUUGUACUAGGUUGAAUGAAACUUUUAUCAACCAAUUCUUUCAACUGAAUUUCCAAUUCCCUUAACUCAUCCUGAACCAAUCUUUAACAUAGAUUUAUACCUGGCAACAAUUCAAUAGUGAACCUCAUAUCUCUGCCCGAAGGCAAUCCAGGUAUACUUUCAGGGAAGACAUCAAGAAAGUCUAACCCCUUUUGACAUUAUUCACACUACUCCAAACAACAUCAUUUAGCACCACAUGAGCUAAUAUUUUUGACAGCCUUUCAAAAACAAUCUCUUUGCUCUCACAGCGUAAAUAACGGCCUGACUCAAUCCACUUUGCAUACUUACAAAAGUAAUCUCUGGUCAUCCAGAUCGAUGGAAAGUGACUGGUUUCCCGUAACAAUCCAUUUAGUCACAAUUAUAACCAACCAAUCUAAUGGAAAUAAUUUAACCGACACAAUAUAUAUUUCUAUUAUUAUUAAGCAUUCUAAAUAAGUACAAUACUAACAUAAAAUAAUCUACCAGGUUGCUUGCUUAACGAAUCCACGAAUGAGUUAUUAAUAUUACGGUCUGCAGCCCGCAAUACUGAUAAAUCAUCGUUGUCUCGAUAAGUAGGCAACCACUCUCAAAGAUAUAACAUUACUAUUUUGUUACUCAAUGCAAAAUACAUACACUCGUCUCAACUACAUUUAUUUACUACUUUCUAGGUAAUAACAUACAUAAUAAGAAAUAUAUCAGCCGAAGUCAACUAGAAUGACCAAUACGGUUGAUUCAACUCUUAUCUUAAUAAUACGUCGGCCGGAUCCACUUCGCGUGGUCGGUACGGCCGAGCCUAUAACUCACUAAUUUCUCAUGGUCUGUACAGCUGAACAUAUAACUCAUCAAAUCUCUCUGUACUCACGGUCAAUCCGACCAAACUACUAAGUCCAUAACUCUGCUGAAUCGACACUAUGAUAUCAUGGAAAAUUAUUGAGUACAACUGAUUCUAGGGACGAUUCACAAUUCUGUGUGUCCCCUCUGUUCACAUAAACACAUUCAUUAAUUUCACACUUCCCAAAGUGUUAAUUUUUGUACCUGCUGCACAAAGUACAUUUCCUUUACUCGAGACACCUUGUCUCAAAUAUCUGGGAUUACCAGUAUAUCCAUCACUUUUACUCUGACCAGCGACAUUAAAACCUCAACUGGAAAAAAUUAACUCUAGCUUCACUUCUUUUGAAGCUCUGAGUCUUUCGAUAUUCUUGAUAUGACGAAUCAUUAACUUUAUCGUUCUUUCAUCUAAUUCCCAUUCUUUUCUUAUUCAUCUUUACUCUCGCUGAUCAUAUUCUCAGAGUCCUCAAGGCUCAACAACAUCUCAUAUACUCCUGGUAAGAAAUACCAUGGAUAGGGGUCACCCAAAAAUACCACUUCCUUUUGUCACCCAGCCUAAAACAACAUAACACCUCCACCAAAUUCACAACAAUAUCUGGAUGGAACGAGGCAAGUCUGAAAAUUUUCUAUAAUAUCCCUCGAUCAUCACCUUCCUUGUCUCAUAUUUGUAAACUCUUGUUUACUACCAUCAAUAAAUGCCAGAGGGAUAAACUUUUCCUUAAACAAUUUUAAAUCGGUUGUUCCUCCGAUGACAACAAAUCAUACUCCUGUUUCCACCAGGAUACAAAUUCAUACCCAAAACCAGGUAGUCGUCUCGACCCCCUGUCAGAAGGAAGAUUCCUUUGACUUGCAUAAUCUGAAACAUCUUUUCCAAAUGGUUAAACCGUUACUUCGCUCCCUCAGGUUCAUCAUUUCAUAAGGUGAUUCAAAUUCGACUCAUAACCCGUCUUAAAAUGUCCAUUUUUAUAAUAGACUGAAUCACCAUAAUAAUAGUUUUCCCUAAACCACUAUAUUAGGGAGACUAAAUUCCUCUAACUAAGUGGCUUGCUACAAGGCGGUGUAGUUCUGACAGAAUUCACUAGAACUUCUCAAAAUGUCCAAGAUUGCAACCAUGCUCUGAUACCAACUGACACACCCCGUCCCGAAGGAGGGCAUGCUGGCCGUCACGUGAGAGUGACGUAACCAUUUGCACAGUACGGAAGCUUUAAGAUACAAUUUAUAAGUUGAUACACCCGAAGGUGAGUCCUAAUUUUGUCCAAUCUGUCAGAACCCCGCUGUAUUCCUCGUAGUCACCACACCUUUGUGAUUCCUGAACCUGGAGGGGCGCAAAACCAAAAUUGAGUGGGUCAGUAAAACAAUUCUUUUCCAAAUCCAAACAUUUUUCAAAACGUUGUAACCCCUCUCUGUAAAACCUGUAUAUUUUCCCAGAAAUGUAAAAUAUAAAUAUACAUAUAUAUUCUCAAUAUUUUAAUUCAUUAACUCAACAUUUUUUCUUUAUCAAUCAUGCCAUGCCAUGUCUAAUUCAACAGUUAAGUAUGGAUGCAUCAACAAUAAUCAUAUCAGGUGCAAGAAAGUAAUCAACCGGAGGCCCUCUAAUAGCCAUGUACGGUUGAACCUAGAGCUCAAAAUCUAUCACUAUCACUCUACCGGAGUCACCUCUGUGACCCGUCCGGCCUUCUGCACACAAGUUACGCUCUAGUGCUUCUCAUAAAUCAUCUGUGCACAUAAUCUAAGGUCACCCACCAGUCGGAAUCUCACUAACACUCUCGCGACUGGCCUGUCGUACCCACUCCGCGUGGACUGUACGACUAGCAUCUACUUGGAUCCAAGGCGAGCGUGCGAUGCGGUGAAUACUAUAAGCACUAAACCAUGGUGCAGGAUUUGAGCUCAAUAUAUAUCAUCAUCAUCAUAACAGUAAUUAAAUACUCACCUGUGCGUCCACCGCACCAUUUCAUACAUAUGCAUCAUAAAUCAAUUCUUACCUGUGCGUCCACCGCACCAAUUCAUACAUAUGCAUCAUAAAUCAAUUCUUACCUGUGCGUCCACCGCACCAAUUCAUACAUAUGCAUCAUAUAUUAAUUCAUGCAUGGCAUUUCAACUCACAUUUCUAUAUACUUUUCAUAUACUUUUAUGCAUUUUCAUUUAAAGCAUAAUUUCAUGCAUUUUCAAUUUCUGGGAAACGUCAAGUAUAUAUAUAUAUAUAUAUACGGAAAACAAAACUGCCCACUCACCUGGAGUUCGCCCUACAACUCCCUAGCACAAUACGCCAAGGCGUCAUGACGAUCGGCGCCUAAAACAAUAAUCAAUUCCAACCUCAGAAUUCAUAUCGAUAGAAUAUAUAACUUAUAUAAAAUACGUCACUACGUAGAUUGAUCCGGAAGAUCCACCACUCAGAUUUUAAUCCAUAACUUCCAGAGGUCCACAUUAUACCUCUAGGACAACAUCCUAAAAUUUCAUUACCAUCCAACGGUCGGAUCUCCGUCAAUUUCCAAAACUAAGUGACGGUUAACAUUUUAUAUUAUGGACUUACAAUUCCAAUUCCGGAAGAUCCGUAACUCGGAUUCCCAAUCCGUAAGUUCCAAUAAUCCUCAAAUAUUACGUAUUACAACGUAUCAAAGUUUGGUGACGAUCCAACGGUCGGAUCGUCAAUUCACAUUUUCACCUAAAUGUGAAAAUUAUAAAACGUUAUUUGAACACCUAACCAACAAUCCUCAAUAACUUUCUCAUACGGUGUUCAAUUUAGGUAUAUGAAUAUACCAUAGUGAUCUACUCGACGUCACGGACGUCGACAUAUUUUUAAAAUAAUUUUAUUUUUAUUUUUUAUUUUUACUGUAGCACCUUCUUCUUCCUUGGGUCGCCGGACUGGUUUUUCCGGCGGCCGUUUUCUGGGCAGUUUUUCAAAUUGCCAUAACUUUGUCAUUUCUCAACGAAAUCAAGUGAUUCAAAAACGAAAAGUUGUAGCCCUUGAAGAGACAAAGAGAAUGGUACCUUGCACAACACCUAGUUAGCCGUGGUUUGGCCGGAAACUGCCUCGAAAGCCUCGGAGGUCGCCGGAAACUGGGUAUUUUUCAAAUGAGUAUAACUUCUUCAAUACUCAACGAAAUUGAGUGAAACAAAAAUGAAAGUUGUAGUACUUGACGAGACGAAGAGAUUGAUACCUAUCUCGACUCCUAACUCGCCGGGGAUUCGCCGGAAAACGCCUCGAAAGCUCCGGCCAAACUUUGAACUUGUCGAUCUCCGUGUUCUUACGUCCAAAAACUUCCAACGAAGCACUCCGAGCUUCCUUGGGACAUCCUAAAGCUCACUAUGAGCUUGGUUUGGCCUAAAACACAACCAAUUCAAAGCUCAUGAACAGUACACAUUCACGGCAACUUUAGAAACUAGGGUUUUCGAAGUGAAACUUACUUGAAAUGGGUAUCAUCGUGAUCGUAUGGUCUUCAGGAGUACGAUGGCACUCUUAAAUCCGUCGUUGGUGGAAGUUUAGGGUGUUUUUUGUGGUGGUCUUGGUGGUUGCCGUGUGUUCGAGAGGGUGAGAGAGAGAGAUCUGAAAUGGAAGAAGAAGAGAGAGAAGGAAAGGUUACGGAAAAUGGGGAGGAAAUUAGGGUAUAGGACCCUACCUAAAGUCCAACACAACAAUAGCUUAGAAAUUUUAGGUAAAACAAACACCAAAAUUACGCACCUUAAUCCCGUUUAAGGGCGUUUUUGUAAUUUCACGUCCUCGGAAUUAAAAAUUCCGGGACGGGCUGUGACAA
rnacentral:lncRNA from 1 species